GGGAGGGUUUACAUGCAGUCGAGCNGAGCGCUAAGAAGAUUUCUUCGGAUUGAAGUCUUUGUGACUGAGCGGCGGACGGGUGAGUAACGCGUGGGUAACCUGCCUCAUACAGGGGGAUAACAGUUAGAAAUGACUGCUAAUACCGCAUAAGCGCACAGGACCGCAUGGUCUGGUGUGAAAAACUCCGGUGGUAUGAGAUGGACCCGCGUCUGAUUAGCUAGUUGGAGGGGUAACGGCCUACCAAGGCGACGAUCAGUAGCCGGACUGAGAGGUUGAACGGCCACAUUGGGACUGAGAUACGGCCCAGACUCCUACGGGAGGCAGCAGUCGGGAAUAUUGCGCAAUGGAGGGAACUCUGACGCAGUGACGCCGCGUAUAGGAAGAAGGUUUUCGGACUGUAAACUAUUGUCGUUAGGGAAGAAAAAAGACAGUACCUAAGGAGGAAGCCCCGGCUAACUAUGUGCCAGCAGCCGCGGUAAUACGUAGGUGGCAAGCGUUGUCCGGAUUUAUUGGGCGUAAAGCGAGUGCAGGCGGUUCAAUAAGUCUGAUGUGAAAGCCUUCGGCUCAACCGGAGAAUUGCAUCAGAAACUGUUGAACUUGAGUGCAGAAGAGGAGAGUGGAACUCCAUGUGUAGCGGUGGAAUGCGUAGAUAUAUGGAAGAACACCAGUGGCGAAGGCGGCUCUCUGGUCUGCAACUGACGCUGAGGCUCGAAAGCAUGGGUAGCGAACAGGAUUAGAUACCCUGGUAGUCCAUGCCGUAAACGAUGAGUGCUAAGUGUUGGGAGGUUUCCGCCUCUCAGUGCUGCAGCUAACGCAUUAAGCACUCCGCCUGGGGAGUACGACCGCAAGGUUGAAACUCCAAGGAAUUGACCGGGGGCCCGCACAAGCGGUGGAGCAUGUGGUUUAAUUUCAAACCACCGCGAAGAACCUUUACCAGGUCUUGACAUCCA
rnacentral:rRNA from 1 species